rnacentral:rRNA from 1 species
AUUGAACGCUGGCGGCAUGCUUAAACACAUGCAAGUCGAAACGGUAACAGGCCCUUCGGGUGCUGACGAGUGGCGGACGGGUGAGUAAUGCUCAGGAAUCUGCCUAGUAGUGGGGGAUAACCCGGGGGAAACUCGGGCUAAUACCGCAUACGCCCUACAGGGGAAAGCGGGGGACUUUCGGCCGUCGCGCUAUUAGAUGAGCCUAAGUCCGAUUAGCUAGUUGGUAGGGUAAUGGCCUACCAAGGCGACGAAUCGGUAGCUGGUCUGAGAGGACGACCAGCCACACUGGGACUGAGACACGGCCCAGACUCCUACGGGAGGC